CACAGGCAGGGAAGAAUUCUAGUAUACACGCUGCUCUCCUAAUGGUCUCUUCUCAUUUGCAAGUGUGAAGUCGCCCCUCCAAGCGAUGCUUAUGUAAAGAUUUGAACUCUGUGACUCUCUUGAUGCAGGAGAUGAGAUCUGUGGACAAAAUCUGUCAGGCAAAACAAGUGUGACAUGGAAAGAACGUCUGACGCGUUUCACGCCCCCUAGUGGCGCUUCAUCAGAGACUACAGGUGUUCCUAAACAUGGCCCUCUUAUACUGGGACAUAUUAAUUGCAUAUUUAACCCCUUAAUGUGAAACAAACAAACAUUAAAAGUAUAUGUAUUUAACAUAAAA